UGAAUUCCUGGAGGGAAGAAGAUGUCUGCUUUCAUUUGGCAAAAAUGGAGGCAGGUUCUGUGACUGUGUCUCAAAGUGGUGACAGGGGAGUGUCUGUCCGCAUGGAUACUACAGGAAGAUGGUACUAGGCAAUCUUGGCUGUCCCUCCCAUGAUCUGGAGACAGUUGGAGGGAGCUUUGUGAUUUCCUUGGGGCUCAGAAGUCAGCAACUUCAUGGCCCACACCCUCAUCUGGUGGCUUCAUGGAGAGUUACAGAGUUACAAUCCCAUCCUUUUUCUGGUCUAUAAAGAUUCGUGUGUCCUGACCUAAGUUACUGGAUCUAUGAGCGAAGACAAAAAUAUGGGGUGAUGUGAUUACCAGUAUACAGAGAGCCAGAAAGAGCUCUGCGGACAGUUUAAAAAGGGAACCAGAGCUGAAGCUAGUCACUGGCCCCUGAGGUUGGCUCUACUCACAGCACUACUCCCAGGCAACAGAACAAGAGUUUGUGCUUAGUGGCUCCAGGACAGCACUUUAACCACUCUGAUAUUUAUAUUUUCCUUUUCCUUAUAUAAAAAAAAGGAGUACUAUUUCACCUAAUAAUUAUACAAAUCCCUGCUCUUGUUCAUGCCAGGAUUGUGAAAGGAGAUAAUCCAUGUGAAAUAGGAUGCUUUCAUAAAAAAGGAAGAGCUCAGCAAAUUCUGUAAAGUUUCACGUUUCGUAUAUCUUCAAGCAAAAUGUUCACACAAGAAAAUUGAUAGCAAUGAUAUUUACAGAUAUUCUAAAAACAAUCCACAUGCUCAUCAAAAGGAGAGAAUAUCCAUGUGUCAGAUUCAGCAAUUCUGCUAUAGAUAGAUACAGAAAAGUCAGUAAGAGACGACAGAGGCCAGAAGCUCCAGCUGUUGUUACUAAAUCCUUGAAUUCAUGCAGGGUCCCAAGGGUGAACCCACACACUUCCAUGUGCAUGAAAUCAUGCUCUUCCUUGUGACCCUGACCAGCAAGCUGUGAUCUAGGCAGAAAGUUUCCACCAACUUCCCACCUGGGUUUUCUUCGAAGCUCAUACUCCUCCUCUUGAAAAUCCUGCUGUUGGUAUCAGUUUGGAAGAAGAGAUCUCAUCACUACUGGGCUUCUAAAAGGCUCGUUCCCAGUCUCUCGCCUCAGUGAAUCUGUGUCUGCACAUGAGCUCUGGCCUCACCCCUUUGUCUCAACUCCUGGAACUGCUGGAGGGUUGCUGGCAUGUCACUGUGAUCAGUGGAAGGAGGAGGACGCACUGAGCCUGGUGUGGAAGCAAGAAAUAAUGCCAAAGCAUCUGCUCCAAGAAGUCAGAGGCCACAGACAGAGAAAUCUGGUUUUAAUUUUUUUUUAGCUAAGAAGUUUUAGAAAAUAAUUUGCUUCAUUUUCUUGAUGUGAUGCCUGAAGGAAAAAUAAUAAUAAAACAAAAUGGGAGGAGGGAAGGUUAUCUGCCAAAUGACAUUUUUUUCCUAUUCUUUCUGCUUCUAUUCCUAGAAAAGAGAAAUUGAAAACUGCAGGGAAAGUGUUGAUGGUAUGUAUACUCGAAUUUCUUAUUUUGCCACUAAUCACAUGAUAGCAAAUUUCUUUUUGGAGGAGAAGAGGCCAGUGUUUCUCCUGACCCCACUGUUGUUUUUAGAUGAGGAGGAAAGGCAGU